GCAAGAAGGGAGACAGGAAGCUGGAGAAAAAGGCUAAGAGAUAAAUAGAGACAAAAGUCCUGAAGUAUCCAAUAAACGAUUUUAAGUAUUUUGAACUUUAUCUGAACAUUGAUGUCAGUGCAGUGACAGGAUCAAAGUCACAGUUUGUAAAGAAGGAUCACUCUGAUUACAGUAGGGAAAAAGGAUGACAAGGGACAAGAUGAGAGGCAGGGAAGACCACUUAGGAAACUAUCAUAGUUACCGAGCCAGAUAUGAAGAUAGCCUGGAGAAUGGUAAUGGCAAAAAGAAAGGUGAAAGUGAAAGGUCUAAGGAGAUAUUCAGAAGACAAACUGAUUAUUGGAAAGGAAUCAGUGAUAUUUCCAAGUUUCUGGUUUGGUCAAAGGAUGUAUAGUUGUUGCCCACUGUUGAAGAAGCCUCAAUAAAUUCAUACUGGCUUGAAACAUAAAAUGGGAGGAGUGAGGUAGCAAGAGAUAAAGCUAAGAAGUUUACUUGGGGUCAGAUCAAAUUUGGCUGUAGGCCAAACUAAGAUUUUCUGAUUUUAUUUUAAGGGGAAAGGAAAGUCACUGGGGAGCUUUACUGUUUGCCCCACUUACUCUCAGGGAAAUUAAUAAAAAUGAAAACUUUGAAUAAUUCCAGGUCCACCAUGUAUAGCUGUGCAGGAUGCGUACUGCACAAAUCGAAGGAAUGCCGUUCACAUAGAUUGAUAUAAAUGGCACCCCUGAAGUUGUGCAAAGCACAGCACAGCAGCCAUCCUUGACACAGCAUGUUAAAUGGUUCUCUAGUUUGUGUGAAUAAAUGUCUUAUAUCCUCAGUAAAAUAAUAAACCUCUCUAGGCCAGAGCUUGUUUUAAACUUCUUUUCUAUUCUUCAAGUGACCUAGCAUAGGUAAUUUGUAAUUUGUUCUCAAUAUACAGCUAGCCCAACACUUGUGCUAAUGGACCUAGAAACUACCAUCCACUUUGAUUUUAAUACUACAACCAUUACAUAUUCUCCUGUUACAGUAUGAAUGGUGCUAAUGUGUCCAAGCAACCAGAAGUCCAGGAGGCAUCUUGAAGUCAUCUCUCGCCUUACCUGCCCCAACCCCUACUCCUAAGUCACCAAGUCCUGCAGAUGUUACCCCUUUAACAUUUCUUAUCAAACAUGACUGCUAUAGCAAAAAUGAGCACCCAGUCUCCUGAUCCUGAUUUAAUCCCCUCUUAUCUACUCUCCAAAAGACUGCUAAAAUUGCCUUUCUAAAACACAAAGUGGAUCCCAUGACUCUUCCAAUUAAAACACUUCAAUGGCUUUCCAUCAAUUCCAGGAGAAAUCUAAACUUCAUACGAGGCCCUUCAUAAUUAGACUUGUUUCUUCUCCAACCAUGACUGACUCUCCUCUCCUUGCCCUAUUACCCUGAGCUCCAGUCAUAACUAAACAUUGGCCUUUUCCAUGAGUACCACCUUUUCUCUUGUCUUUGUGCCUUUACACAUAACGUUCCCUCUACCUGAAUGCCAUUUUAUCUGGCUAACUCCUAGGAAAUUCAGCACAGUAUCUGUGUGAUUAUAUACCUCCUCCUAGAUGUCUCCCUUGAACGAUAUCCCUCAUUCCCAAAUCUUGAGUAAGGUGCCCUUCGAAUAAACAAUAAUUUAUUUAUAUGUCUUUCCAUUAGCAAAUAAGCCACUUAAGCACAGGGACUAUGCCUCCGAUUUUUGCAUGGUCCGCAUCUAAACAUCCAUCUGAUACUUGGACACUCAAUAAAUGUGAAUAGAAUAAUGAAUAAACCAGCUGUGGAAAUUAAUGUGCAAUUUUCUCUCUUUUCAGGUAAAUUUUAGUUAAAAUAAAAGCAAAAUGGGUAAUAUUGUGUUCACAGUUGUUUUCUUUUUAGGUACAAGAAGUCAGGUACGUGCGUAGCACUUUAACAUAAAUUCAUAAAGUUUUAAGGAACUCAAGUGGGUCAUUCAAACUGUUUCCUCACCUAAAAUCACCCCACACCAUAUAGACAAAACUCUAUUU
rnacentral:lncRNA from 10 species